ACCAGAGACUAAAACAGCUGCAGUGUAACCUAUUACUGUUUUACUGCCUUUUAGUUUGACAGUGUUUCUGUUGUAAUGGAGAUGCUACUAUAUGGACUCCUACUGAUGAUUAUCGCAUGUGUUAAUGGUCAGUCUUUGAGCUCCUCAGAUUCUGUGGUGAAAAGACCAGGAGAAUCAGUGACUCUGUCCUGCGGUGUCUCUGGAUUCUCAAUGGGCAGCUACUACAUGACCUGGAUCCGUCAGAAACCAGGGAGAGGACUGGAGUGGAUUGGAUAUAUAGACACUGGCUCAAGUGCAUAUUAUGCUCAGUCUCUACAGGGCCAGUUCUCCAUCACAAAAGACACCAGCAAAAACAUGCUGUAUUUAGAGGUGAAAAGCCUGAAGACUGAAGACACAGCUGUUUAUUACUGUGCAAGAGAUUCACAGUAAGACAAAAGUCUGCAGGGCUGAACAAAAACUAUUCAUGUGAUCUCUGAGGACUCAAGGAUGGUGGAUACAAUUAUGAAAUAUAUGUUGUUCUCCAAAACAUGUUGGCCACAAUUAUUGCCAUAGAAAUUC